GAUACGGUCUCUCGUAUGGGCUCCCCAGUCCCACAGGGGCCAGACAUGAGGGAAGGGGGAGCCCCUGCCCUUCCCCUCCCUCUCCUUCCUGACACUGCUUCCUCUUUUGCUUCCUCAUUCCCCUUCCAGAUCCGUGGGCUCUGGCAGCGUGGCCAGAGACAGGUCAGAACAUUCCCCGGGCCAGCAAGCUGUGACCGCCACGGGGCAAACCCAACUGGGACGCAGGCCUGGGCAGGCACCUUCCUGGGGUAUUGGGGCAGGAGCAAGCAGAAAGCCCUAUCUUCACCCACUGCACCCCGUGCCAGCCUCCUUGCUGACCUUGCCUGAAGGUCCCUCCAUCAGUCACCACGAGCAAAGAGCGGGUGCUGACAUCAAGCCUUGGAGGUUGUUUGAAAAGCUAAUCUUGCCUUGGAAGGCGCCGGGGCUGGUGUGAGAGUGUCCACCCCACUCACAUUGGAUGGUUUUUCUUAUGGGCUGAGCUGUGUCCCCCCCCCCCCCCCAGUUUCGUGUUAGAGCACCUGACAAUGUGACUGUAUUUGGAGACAGGAUUUUUAAAGAGGUAAUUAUGUGAAAAGGAGGGUGGGCCCUAAUCCAUUAUGACAGGAGUCCUUGGACACCCUCAGACAGAAGAUCAUCUAGGGACACGGGAGAAGAUGGCCAGCUACAAGCCAAGGAGAGAGGCUUCUGAAGCAACCAACCCUGCAGACACGAUCUUGAACUUGUACACCUCCAGGACGGCGACGACAUAAAUUUCAGUUGUUCAGGCCUCCCAGUCUGUGUUGCUUGUCAUGGUGGCCUUAGCCCACUAACACAGUCCCUGUCCCCAGAAUGUCCUGUCUGGUGCCCCAUCUUCUCAUCUCUCUCCACUCUGGGGUCUUCCCUCCCGGGCCACCAGCCCCGGCUUUCACAGUCUCUGAGACAGUUGCAAAUGCAAGCCUGGUCAGGACGUUUCUUGAACUGCAGGUGUGCUGGAACCUUCUGGGGAAUGGAGCACAAUGAGCAUGAGCAGGGGGGCUCCGGAGCGCUUCCUGAGAAGAAGACAGAUUGGAUGCCUGGAGGCACAGCAGCCAUCUUUCACCCAUGAGGAGAGAAGUCAGUUCUCUGCAGCUGAACACAGUCCUCACUGAGACACAGCUCUUCCUAUGCAAAGUCUGGUAGCUCCUUCUGAAAUCUCAGCACCUACCCCAGCCCCACAGCAGCCUGGCCCAUGGAUGGUUGGGCCUCUUCCCUGACCCCACCGCACGGAGGUGAUGGCCCGAAGGUACGGGAUCGCACCUUUUCUUCUCUGAUACUAGAGCUGUGGGUGUGGCGGACUGGCGAGCAGAGAUGAGGGGGUUCACAGCCCAAUGAAUCUGAUAUGAUUUCCUAGGAAUAAUAGAUCAAAUCCUCACUGAAGGUUUUGUCAAAUGUUGCCUGAGCAAGGCCUACCUUGACUACGCUGUUCAAAAUUUCAACCCUUAUUUCCGGAGUCCUCUCACCUUGCUCUCUCUUUUUUUUAAAUUUCAUACAAUUGAUCACCUUCCAGGACACCACUCGGUUUACUUUCAUUGUGUUGGCUGUGUGAUGUCUGCGCCUUUCUCCCCACCCCCAGGAUGAAGCCCCACACAGAUAAGGGUCUGGGUCUGCUUUGUUCUUUAAUGCCUUUCUAAAAGCCUGGAAGCAUUUCUGGCAUAGAGAAAGCAUUUGCUGACUGGAAUUCAUAGCUAUGUGUCCUAAGCACCAGCUGUUCUGGGCUGACUUGUGUCCCCCCCCAGUUUGCAUGUUGAAGUCCUAACCCCAGGACCUCCGAAUGUGAACCGUAUUUCGAUAUGGGGUCUUUGGAGAGGUAGUUAAGUUAAAAGGAGGUCGGUAGGGUGGGCCCGGCUCCAAUAUGACUGGUGUCCUCGUAAGAAGAACUGAUUAGGGACCCAGAAUGCAGAGAAGGAAGACGAUGUGAAGACACAUUGGGAAGAUGCCCAACCACGAGCCCAGGAGAGAAGCCUUAGAAGAAACCAUCCGUGCUGACAUCCUGAUCUCCGACUCCCAGCCUUCAGAAUCAUGAGACAUAAAUCUCUGUAGUUUAGGCCACCCACCACAUCCGUGGCCCUUUGCUAUGGUGGCCCCAGCACACGGAUACAGCAGCCAUACCUGA